CCUACGGGUGGCAGCAGUGAGGAAUAUUGGUCAAUGGACGAGAGUCUGAACCAGCCAAGUAGCGUGAAGGAUGACUGCCCUAUGGGUUGUAAACUUCUUUUAUAAAGGAAUAAAACGAGGCACGUGUGCCUUUUUGCAUGUACUUUAUGAAUAAGGAUCGGCUAACUCCGUGCCAGCAGCCGCGGUAAUACGGAGGAUCCGAGCGUUAUCCGGAUUUAUUGGGUUUAAAGGGAGCGUAGAUGGGUUGUUAAGUCAGUUGUGAAAGUUUGCGGCUCAACCGUAAAAUUGCAAUUGAUACUGGCAGUCUUGAGUACAGUUGAGGUAGGCGGAAUUCGUGGUGUAGCGGUGAAAUGCUUAGAUAUCACGAAGAACCCCGAUUGCGAAGGCAGCUUACUAAACUGUGACUGACAUUGAUGCACGAAAGCGUGGGUAUCGAACAGGAUUAGAUACCCGGGUAGUC
rnacentral:rRNA from 1 species